AUUGAACGCUGGCGGCCGGCCUAACACAUGCAAGUCGAGCGAGCGGCGGACGGGUGAGUAAUGUAUGGGGACUGCCCGAUAGAGGGGGAGAACUAUUGGAAACGGUAGCUCAUACCGCAUACUAUCGGAUAACCCAUAUGGGAUUGGCUAGUAGGUGGGGUAAUGGCUCACCUAGGCGACGAUCCCUAGCUGGUCUGAGAGGAUGAUCAGCAACACGGGGACUGAUACACGGCCCAGACUCCUACGGAGGCAGCAGUGGGGAAUAUUGCACAAUGGGCGCAAGCCUGAUGCAGCCAUGCCGCGUGUAUGAAGAAGGCCCUAGGGUUGUAAAGUACUUUCAGUCGGGAGGCGUUACCGACAGAAGAAGCACCGGCUAACUCCGUGCCAGCAGCCGCGGUAAUUC
rnacentral:rRNA from 1 species